CCCAGGACACACCGACCAACAGGUGUUACCAUCCGGGCACGGACACAGUUAGACGUGGCGGAGAGAAGAGCAGAAUCAACUCUGCUCAAGGACAUCUGAAAAGAGAGGGGGAAGACCCGUUCCUUCUCCUGACUCACCAGUCAGCAAUCUUCUCUACAGUGGUCCUCAAAGUUGUGGUCUUGGAGCAGCUGGGGCAUCACCGGUGACCUUGCUGGGAAUGCAGAAUCUCAGACCCCGCCCCCAGCUAGUCAACCAGAAACCGUGGAUUGGGCCAGCAGUCGUGCCUCAACAGAACCUUCCGGUUCCCAACUAAACAAAAAUAAGAUUUCUCUGUACCUACGAUUGGGAGCAACAAGCAGUAAAGAAAGCUUGACCCCGCUUUUGUGGAGCAGAAGACAAGCACAUGCUUGGGGUCAGAGCCCUGAGAGAUUGCCUGUUGCGUGAGCAAAUCCCUAGGCUGGAGCCACGGUCCUGUGGGAUUGCUGGGCUGACUCGACACUGCACCUGUGCAGUUGAACUUGGCUGAGCGAAGCAGCAGCGGGGGUGAUGAUGCUUGCUGCCAAGACUCAAGAGAGUUUUGACUGGAAAGAAGGGAGGCCGGCCACCCAGGGAGAAGGUGGACCCUUGUGCAAAGACCAACUCUGAGGUUUCUGCCUGGCCCAGACAUUUGUAAAGAGAGAGAGGGAGAGAGAGCAAGCACAGACGGA